AUUGAACGCUGGCGGCAGGCCUAACACAUGCAAGUCGAACGAGUGGCGGACGGGUGAGUAAUGUCUGGGAAACUGCCCGAUGGAGGGCGAUACCUAAUGGAAACGGUACCUAAUACCGCAUACCAUCGGAUGUGCCCAGAUGGGAUUAGCUAGUAGGUGGGGUAACGGCGCACCUAGGCGACGAUCCCUAGCUGGUCUGAGGGGAUGACCAGCCACACUGGAACUGGGACACGGUCCAGACUCCUACGGGAGGCAGCAGUGGGGAAUAUUGCACAAUGGGCGCAAGCCUGAUGCAGCCAUGCCGCGUGUAUGAAGAAGGCCUUCGGGUUGUAAAGUACUUUAAGCGAGGAGGCGUUACUCGCAGAAGAAGCACCGGCUAACUCCGUGCCAGCAGCCGCGGUAAUAC
rnacentral:rRNA from 1 species